GAUGAACGCUGGCGGCGUGCCUAAUACAUGCAAGUCGAGCGAAUGGAUUGAGAGCUUGCUCUUAUGAAGUUAGCGGCGGACGGGUGAGUAACACGUGGGUAACCUGACCAUAAGACUAGGAUAACUCCGGGAAACCGGGGCUACUACGGGAUAACAUUUUGAACCGCAUGGUUCGAAAUUGAAAGGCGGCUUCGGCUGUCACUUAUGGAUGGACCCGCGUCGCAUUAGCUAGUUGGUGAGGUAACGGCUCACCAAGGCAACGAUGCGUAGCCGACCUGAGAGGGUGAUCGGCCACACUGGGACUGAGACACGGCCCAGACUCCUACGGGAGGCAGCAGUAGGGAAUCUUCCGCAAUGGACGAAAGUCUGACGGAGCAACGCCGCGUGAGUGAUGAAGGCUUUCGGGUCGUAAAUCUCUGUUGUUAGGGAAGAACAAGUGCUAGUUGAAUAAGCUGGCACCUUGACGGUACCUAACCAGAAAGCCACGACUAACUACGUGCCAGCCGCCGCAGUAA
rnacentral:rRNA from 1 species